rnacentral:rRNA from 1 species
GAUGAACGCUGGCGGCGUGCCUAAUACAUGCAAGUCGAGCGAACAGACGCGGCGCUUGCUCCUCUCUCGUUAGCCGCGGACGUGUGUGUAACACGUGUAUCACCUCCCUGUCUUACUGGGAUCACUUCGGGACUCCGGAUCUAAUACCAUAUAAGCUCUUGCACCGCAUGGGGCGAUGGUGAAAUUCGGCUUUUCUGUCUCGUCUAGCUGCAUCCCCGCCGCAUUAGCGAGUUGGUAAGGUAACGGCUUACCAAGGCAACGAGGCGUAGCCGACCUGAGAGGGUGAUCGGCGACACGGGAGGGGAGACACGGACCAGAGUCCUACGGGAGGGAGCAGUAGGGAAUGUUCGGCAACGGGCGAAAGCCUGACGGAGCAACGCCGCGUGAGUGAUGAAGGUCUUCGGAGCGUAAAACUCUGUUUUUAGGGAAGAACAAAUGUGUAAGUAACUAUGCACGGCUUGACGGUACCUAAUAAGAAAGCAACGGCUAACUACGUG